GGGUUGUUGCUGGUUCUCUAGGGAGCAUUGUGCACACCUAUCAUCUUUAUAUCUCCCCCUGUGCACCUUUUGUAGACCCCCCGGGGUCUAUGUUGCUUCAUUUACCCCAAUGUAUGUUAAUAGAAUGUAUGUGCCUAUGAAAUCUAUACAACUUUCAGCAACGGAUCUCUUGGCUCUCGCAUCGAUGAAGAACGCAGCGAAAUGCGAUAAGUAAUGUGAAUUGCAGAAUUCAGUGAAUCAUCGAAUCUUUGAACGCACCUUGCGCUCCUUGGUAUUCCGAGGAGCAUGCCUGUUUGAGUGUCAUUAAAUAUAUCAACCCCUCUUGUUGAGUGGCUUGGAUGUGGGGGUUUUGCUGGCCUCUCAAAAAGGUUCAGCUCUCCUGAAAUGCAUUAGCAGAACAACCUGUUCGUUCAUUGGUGUGAUAACUAUCUACGCUAUUGAAUGUGGGGCAGUUCAGCUUCUUAACAGUCCUUGGACAAUUUAUCAUUUUAUGUGACCUCAAAUCAGGUAGGACUACCCG
rnacentral:rRNA from 1 species